rnacentral:rRNA from 1 species
GAUGAACGCUGGCGGUAUGCUUUACACAUGCAAGUCGUACGCAAGUUUACUUGAGUGGCGGACGGGUGAGUAACACGUGAGAAUUCACCUUUAGGUGGGGAAUAACUUUUGGAACGAUAGCUAAUGCCCCACUAUACUCGCAAGAGAGAAAAGAAGUAAUCUGCCUAGAGAGAAGCUCGCGGCUGAUUAGCUAGUUGGGUAAGGUAAUGGCUUACCAAGGCGACGAUCAGUAGCUGGUUUGAGAGAACGAUCAGCCACACUGGAACUGAGACACGGUCCAGACUCCUACGGGAGGCAGCAGUGGGG